CUAAAAGUGACACUGGGACACCAUAGGUGACAUGAAUCCCCCAUUGGUGACAGUGGGACCCUAAAAGUGGCACUGGGACCCCAUAGGGUGACAUGGAGUCCCCCAUUGGGAACAGUGGGACCCCAUAAGAGACACUGGGACCCCAUAGGGUGACAUUGGGACCCUAAAAGUGGCACUGGGACCCCAUAGGUGACAUGAAUCCCCCAUUGGUGACACUGGGACCCCAUAAGUGACACUGGGACCCCAUAGGGUGAUAUUGGGACCCUAAAAGUGGCACUGGGACCCCAUAGAGUGACAUGAAUCCCCCAUAGGGGACAGUGGGACCCUAAAAGUGGCACUGGGACCCCUUAGGGUGACAUGAAUCCCCCAUUGGGAACAGUGGGACCCCAUAAGAGACAGUGGGACCCCAUAGGGUGACAUUGGGACCCUAAAAGUGGCACUGGGACCCCAUAGGUGACAUGAAUCCCCCAUUGGUGACACUGGGACCCCAUAAGUGACACUGGGACCCUAACAGUGACACUGGGACCUCAUAGGUGACAUUGGGAUUCCAUAGAGUGACAUUAAUCCCCCGUAGGUGACACUGGGACCCUAAAAGUGACACCGGGACCCCAUAGGGUGACACUGGGACUCCAUAGAGUGACAUGAAUCCCCCAUAGGGAACAGUGGGACCCCAUAAGAGACACUGGGACCCCAUAGGGUGACAUUGGGACCCUAAAAGUGGCACUGGGACCCCAUAGGUGAUAUGAAUCCCCCAUUGGUGACACUGGGACCCCAUAAGUGACACUGGGACCCCAUAGGGUGACAUUGGGACCCUAAAAGUGGCACUGGGACCCCAUAGGUGACAUGAAUCCCCCAUAGGGGACACUGGGACCCUAAAAGUGACACUGGGACCCCAUAAGUGGCAUUGAGGUCCCAUAGGUGACACUGGGACCCUAUAGGGUGACAUUGGGAUCCCAUAGGUGGCACUGGGACCCCAUAGGUGACACUGGGACCCUAUAGGGUGACAUGGAGUCCCCAUUGGGUGACACUGGGCCCCCAUAGGCGACCAUGGGACCCUAAAAGUGCCAUUAAAAUCCCAUAGGUGGCACUGGGACCCCACAGAGUGCCAUUAAGUCCCCAUAGGUGAC
rnacentral:lncRNA from 1 species